rnacentral:lncRNA from 1 species
CUUGUCUCUAAAAUAUAAAUGAAUCAAUUUAUUCUAUUAAUCUGCCUUUCAUCAGUUGAUUUUUCAGCAAACCUUCAGAAGGCAAAGGGGAAGUUUUCCUUUGGCCCCCACAGACCCAUGCUGGGGGACGUCCUGAGGAUGGGUGAGGAGAGAAAUCUUCCAGGACAAGGAAACUACUGCUUGACAACACGCCUGCUUCUGCCGCAUCACAGACUUAGCAGAGUCUGUUCAGAAUCUCCUUGCAUUUCCAAAUGAAGCUUGGAUGUUAGCAGAUGUUAAACCCAAGAACAGGUACACCUGGGCUCUAAAUUCAUCUUCUGACUGAAGUUGAAGAUAAAACCUGAUACCAGUUUGGAGUAGAAAGAGACACACUAUUGUAAUCAUAAAUGACAUUUGACCUUAAAACAGUAACACAGCAAAUUUCUAAUUAAAGUGGAGCAUGUCCUGUCUUGACUGAGGCACCAAGACGAUUUGUUGCAGAUUGUUGCUGGCAGUGUGCAGUCCCCAAGACCAAAUCACCAAGAGGCACAGUGGUAAGAGUGGUCAGCAAGGAGCGGAGCGCCUUCCUCCCACCAGCAGGUGACUCACCACAUCGUGUCCUCCUUGGCGUAAGAGGCGCCCUAAAGGUUCCUGCGUUCCAGUUAUCCUAACUGGAAUACUGUUCCUGAAAAAAGCGUAUAUUUAAGGCCCUGCUAGCUAUAAGCAAUCCUUCAAGGAAGAGAAU